GCCUCGUUGGUCUAGCGGUAUGAUUCUCGCUUAGGGUGUACCCUAAAGCUUCUGUUUGCGAGAGGUCCCGGGUUCAAUCCCCGGAUGAGGCC